rnacentral:rRNA from 1 species
GAUGAACGCUGGCGGCGUGCCUAAUACAUGCAAGUCGAGCGAACAGAUGAGGAGCUUGCUCCUCUGACGUUAGCGGCGGACGGGUGAGUAACACGUGGAUAACCUACCUAUAAGGCUGGGAUAACUUCGGGAAACCGGAGCUAAUACCGGAUAAUAUAUUGAACCGCAUGGUUCAAUAGUGAAAGACGGUUUUGCUGUCACUUAUAGAUGGAUCCGCGCCACAUUAGCUAGUUGGUAAGGUAACGGCUUACCAAGGCAACGAUGCGUAGCCGACCUGAGAGGGUGAUCGGCCACACUGGAACUGAGACACGGUCCAGACUCCUACGGGAGGCAGCAGUAGGGAAUCUUCCGCAAUGGGCGAAAGCCUGGCGGAGCAACGCCGCGUGAGUGAUGAAGGUCUUCGGAUCGUAAAACUCUGUUAUUAGGGAAGAACAAAUGUGUAAGUAACUAUGCACGUCUUGACGGUACCUAAUCAGAAAGCCACGGCUAACUACGUG